rnacentral:rRNA from 1 species
GAUGAACGCUAGCGGGAGGCCUAACACAUGCAAGCCGAGCGGUAUUUCUUCUUCGGGAGAGAGAGAGCGGCGUACGGGUGCGGAACACGUGUGCAACCUGCCUUUAUCUAGAGGAUAGCCUUUCGAAAGGAAGAUCAAUACUCUAUAAUAUAUUAAUUGGCAUCAAUUGAUAUUGAAAACUCCGGUGGAUAGAGAUGGGCACGCGCAAGAUUAGCUAGUUGGUGAGGUAACGGCUCACCAAGGCAAUGAUCUUUAGGGGGACUGAGAGGGUGAUCCCCCACACUGGUACUGAGCCACGGACCAGACUCCUACGGGAGGCAGCAGUGAGGAAUAUUGGUCAAUGCGUGCAAGCCUGAACCCGCCAUCCCGCGUGAAGGAUUAAGGUCCUAUGGAUUGUAAACUUCUUUUGUAUAGGGAUAAACCUACCCUCGUGAGGGUAGCUGAAGGUACUAUACGAAUAAGCACCGGCUAACUCCGUGCCAGCAGCCGCCGUAA